rnacentral:lncRNA from 1 species
GGCUUCCAGCGAUAUCCAAUUCUUCACACGUAAUGAAACCUAUAAUUCAGUAUUUGCAUAACUGCUGUAAGACCAAUAAUGAGUCGGAGGUUUCUGUUUGGUUAAUACAGCACACGCUUGGCAAAUCGUAAUUUCAUACUCAGAUAUCAUAUACGAUUGUACAUAUAAUAUAAUUCUCAAACGUGAGCAGCUUCCCCUCACUAGUCCGUAGUAUUAUUUAUUGUACACCAGUUAAAAAGAUGUUUUAAAAGGUAUUCCAAAUGUUUACCACUUCCACUCGCAUACCCAUGCAUGUAUCUUGUCGUUCCUUUGAUGUAGUGUCUAACAUAUUGCUAGCGGAUAUUGAACAAUUUUACCAUUAAUCAAUGAACCAGCCGAUAAUCAAGUGUUGUGUCUUUUCUGUCGAUCUUAAUUUCUUAUCGUUCGAAAAUCAAUAAUUAUAUCAUAAGAAACUAGCAUAAACAAUGUUACUCUAUACGAAAUGACAGUUUUAUGUUACAUGUAUAAAAUAC